rnacentral:rRNA from 1 species
AGUGAACGCUGGCGGUAGGCCUAACACAUGCAAGUCGAACGAGUGGCGGACGGGUGAGGAAUACAUCGGAAUCUACCCUGUCGAGGGGGAUAACGUAGGGAAACGUACGCUAAUACCGCAUACGAUCGAAUGUGCCGAUGUAGGAUUAGCUAGUUGGCGGGGUAAAGGCUCACCAAGGCGACGAUCCGUAGCUGGUCUGAGAGGAUGAUCAGCCACACUGGAACUGAGACACGGUCCAGACUCCUACGGGAGGCAGCAGUGGGGAAUAUUGGACAAUGGGCGCAAGCCUGAUCCAGCCAUACCGCGUGUGUGAAGAAGGCCUUCGGGUUGUAAAGCCCUUUUGUUGGGAAGGCGGUACCCAAAGAAUGAGCACCGGCUAACUUCGUGCCAGCAGCCGCGGUAAUUC